UGCCCACUGAAAUAUUUAAAGGGCCGCAGUAUUUUGACUGUGCAAAGGUAGCAUAAUCAUUAGUCUUUUAAUUGAAGGCUGGUAUGAAUGGUUGGAUGAGGUAAAUUCUGUUUUAUAUUAAUUAUAAUUGAAUUUAGAUUUUAAGUAAAAAGACUUAAAUAUUAUUAAGGGACGAGAAGACCCUAUAGAGUUUAAUAAAUGUAAUAAUUAAUUAAGUUAUUUAAAAAUUUUAUUGUUAUUAUGAAAUUUAUUUGGUUGGGGCGAUUAGAGGAUAUAAAAAACUCUUCUUUAAAUUAAAUAUUAUAAUUAAUUUAAUGAUCCAUAAUUUAUGAUUAAAAGAUUUAAUUACCUUAGGGAUAACAGCAUAAUUUCUUUUGAGAGUUCAUAUCGAAAAGGAAGAUUGUGACCUCGAUGUUGGAUUAAGAGUAGUUUUAGGUGUAGAAGUUUAAAAA
rnacentral:rRNA from 1 species